CCGCCAUUUUUUUUGUUACCGGCAAAUGAACGUAACCAUUCCACCACCUUCGAUGUAACAACGUUCAGCUCGCCUAAACGAUCGUCCAUUUCGUUUCGAACCACCAAGUCGCAACGAGAGUAGAGGUAGAUUUGGAGCUACUUAACCUUGAUGAAUUAGAAUUAUAAAAUGAGGCAAAUCCAUAAAGGAGAUGGACUCGAUUUUACGGCUAUUACGGUGUCCUGGACAUCCUUUCGGAAUUCUGGGUGGGCAGACAGGAUUCGUACUAGGUAUGAAGAAACAGGCUCUCGCGGUCAGCUGAUUUGCUAUUCUUAAGAUGUUUGGAUAAAUGAAUAUGAUAAAACCAGAGAUGAACUUUCUCAUCGAAUGAUACCUGAAACAUGAGUUCAUUUUCUUCUGGUUGAUAUUGAGCAUCUGGGUUACGGCAAGCUGAGAUUUAAAGACAUUGAUGUGAUGCAAUUGGAGAAUUUUUACACUUACAUCCAAUAUAAAUUAUGCUGGAUUGUGGGCUAAGAAUUUGUUGCAAAAGUACAAGAACUCACAUCUCCCAAGAUUCAAAGUGAUUGGAAAAUUUCUACUGUAGCAUCCAAUAUACAUUGAAUUGGAUUGUGAACAAAGAAUUUUUUUAAAAGUUUGAGAACCUACAACUCUUAAGAUUCAAUGCGAUUGGAAAAUUUCUACACUAACAUCCAAUAUAAAUUGGACUGGAUUAUGAACAAAGAAUGAAAGGAAGGGGUUACACAAGGACCCAUAACAAGAUCAACUAUAAAGAGAUAAUUUCAAUAAAUGAGUGACUGGAUCGAAGAAACAACAAUUGAAUGAAAUAUUUGAUAUGUAUAUUUAUAUCUUCGCUUACUUAAUAAAUCCCAGUAUUGCGGUACUAAUAUCUUA